UACGGAGGGGGCUAGCGUUGUUCGGAAUUACUGGGCGUAAAGCGCGCGUAGGCGGCUUUGUAAGUUAGAGGUGAAAGCCCGGAGCUCAACUCCGGAACUGCCUUUAAGACUGCAUCGCUAGAACGUCGGAGAGGUAAGUGGAAUUCCGAGUGUAGAGGUGAAAUUCGUAGAUAUUCGGAAGAACACCAGUGGCGAAGACGACUUACUGGACGACUGUUGACGCUGAGGUGCGAAAGCGUGGGGAGCAAACAGG
rnacentral:rRNA from 1 species